CCUACGGGGGGCUGCAGUGGGGAAUAUUGGACAAUGGGCGAAAGCCUGAUCCAGCCAUGCCGCGUGUGUGAAGAAGGCCUUCGGGUUGUAAAGCACUUUCAGUGGGGAAGAAAGCCUUGGGGCUAAUACCCUCGAGGAAGGACAUCACCCACAGAAGAAGCACCGGCUAACUCCGUGCCAGCAGCCGCGGUAAUACGGAGGGUGCGAGCGUUAAUCGGAAUUACUGGGCGUAAAGCGCGCGUAGGCGGUCUGAUAAGCCGGUUGUGAAAGCCCCGGGCUCAACCUGGGAACGGCAUCCGGAACGGUCAGGCUAGAGUGCAGGAGAGGAAGGUAGAAUUCCCGGUGUAGCGGUGAAAUGCGUAGAGAUCGGGAGGAAUACCAGUGGCGAAGGCGGCAUUCUGGACUGACACUGACGCUGAGGUGCGAAAGCGUGGGUAGCAAACAGGAUUAGAUACCCUGGUAGU
rnacentral:rRNA from 1 species